UGCCGCCCGCCGCCCGCCGCCCUGGCUGGCUGGCUGGCUGGCUGGCUGGCGCCCCCGUCCUCCCGGCUUCUGCCGCGGUGCCCUCAGGGGGAUCCUGGGCACACCCAGAAAACCUUCAAGACGCCCAUCUUGAAGACGCCCCCACCUGCCGCGUUGCUGUGGCUCGGGCUGCUUUUGAAUAGCGGAGGAGCCGGUGCGGGGAAAGGAAAAAGCUAAUUCCCUUCCUGGAAAAUUUUCUUCCACGCCCCCCUCCCGCCUCGUUGAGAAUUCGUCUCAUAAGAGAACCAACACAAGUCUGUGUAAUUUGAGGAAGCUACAGAAUUCAGUCCUUGCUAGACAAAUGUGGAAAACCUGAGAAAGAAUAUUUAAAAAUGGAAUAAAAGCCUGACAACUCCCAACAGACCCUUAGGGUUGGAUGGCAAAUUCUUCA